UCCACGCCGUAAACGAUGUCAACUAGCUGUUUGUGGCCAUGAGCCGUGAGUAGCGUAGCUAACGCGAUAAGUUGACCGCCUGGGGAGUACGGCCGCAAGGUUAAAACUCAAAUGAAUUGACGGGGGCCCGCACAAGCGGUGGAGCAUGUGGUUUAAUUCGAUGCAACGCGAAGAACCUUACCAUCCCUUGACAUCCACAGAAAUCAGUAGAGAUACAGAUGUGCCUUCGGG
rnacentral:rRNA from 1 species